ACUGAGUGAUGUGGACUAGACACCCAACAUGAACGGAGGUGAGAAUGCAGAAAGAAGAGACAACAGAAUCAUACAGCUGACAAAGACAGCCAGCCCUCCCACAGGUGACAGGUGCGCUCAGAGCAGGGCCAGCCCUCCCACAGGUGACAGGUGAGCUCAGAGCAGGGCCAGCCCUCCCACAGGUGACAGGUGCGCUCAGAGCAGGGCCAGCCCUCCCACAGGUGACAGGUGCGCUCAGAGCAGGGCCAGCCCUCCCACAGGUGACAGGUGAGCUCAGAGCAGGGCCAGCCCUCCCACAGGUGACAGGUGCGCUCAGAGCAGGGCCAGCCCUCCCAGAGGUGACAGGUGAGCUCAGAGCAGGGCCAGCCCUCCCACAGGUGACAGGUGAGCUCAGAGCAGGGCCAGCCCUCCCACAGGAGACAGGUGAGCUCAGAG